UAGUCCCGCCCUUCUAGUAUAAAAGAAGCCUGAAUUCUAACCCCGGGAAGGUGUUUUCUUGGCAUCAUACUCUUCUGCCCUCUUUGCGGUCUGCGGAAUUUCUGAAUAAAGUCUCUAGCUAUUCCUUGCCCCAACACCCUGUUUAUCCAUUGAGUGCCCUGUCAUGCAGUGAACAGUACAAACUUGGACUCGGUAACCCUGGAGGUUAUUACAGAAUACUGAAGAGUUAUCUGUGCUAUACCGAAGCCAACUGCCUUUAUGUGUGCUGCUCUAUAGAGAGACCCACAGGACAAGAAUCUGAGGCCAGCCUCCAGCCCACAGCCAAGGAGAAACUGAGGCCUCCAUCCAGCAGCCCAUGGAAAAGUGAACUGUACCAAUAAGGAGUGGCAUCUUCCCCAGUGGAGACAUCUGGAUGCAGUCUUGCAAAAGACCCUGAGCCAAGGACCCAGAGAAGCCUCCCAUAGAUGCUUGACCAAAGAAGCUAUGAGAUUACAAAUGUUGCUCUAAGCCAUUAAACACUGGAGUAAUACGAUCUCUACUUAAUAAGAGUGAGAAAAGAGGGAACAUCAUCUACUUGAAAGAAAAAGUCAUCUAGAAAUGGACAUAAUACCUAUUUAAGCCUUACCAAGAAUAACAGUUCUGUAAGCUAGGAGUUAAAUAUAUAAAAUGAAAUAAUGUGUUUAAAAUGAUAGUGCCUGUUUUAUAUUAUUUCAUUCAAAAUUAAA